ACGGGAGGCAGCAGUGGGGAAUAUUGGACAAUGGGGGAAACCCUGAUCCAGCGACACCGCGUGAGUGAAGAAGUAUUUCGGUAUGUAAAGCUCUUUAAGUUGGGAAGAAAAUGACGGUACCAACAGAAUAAGCCCCGGCUAACUACGUGCCAGCAGCCGCGGUAAUACGUAGGGGGCAAGCGUUAUCCGGAUUUACUGGGUGUAAAGGGCGUGUAGGCGGGACAUCAAGUCAGAUGUGAAAGCACGAGGCUCAACUUCGUGUCUGCAUUUGAAACUGACGUUCUUGAGUGUUGGAGAGGCUAACGGAACUCCUAGUGUAGCGGUGAAAUGCGUAGAUAUUAGGAAGAACACCAGUGGCGAAGGCGGUUAGCUGGACAAUAACUGACGCUGAGGCGCGAAAGCGUGGGUAGCAAACAGGAUUAGAUACCCUGGUA
rnacentral:rRNA from 1 species